ACUGUAUUCAUUUUGUUUCUUUGGA
rnacentral:piRNA from 1 species